UACGGAGGGAGCUAGCGUUGUUCGGAAUUACUGGGCGUAAAGCGCACGUAGGCGGCUUUGUAAGUUAGAGGUGAAAGCCCGGAGCUCAACUCCGGAACUGCCUUUAAGACUGCAUCGCUUGAAUCCAGGAGAGGUGAGUGGAAUUCCGAGUGUAGAGGUGAAAUUCGUAGAUAUUCGCAAGAACACCAGUGGCGAAGGCGGCUCACUGGCCCGAUACUGACGCUGAGGCACGAAAGCGUGGGGAGCAAACAGG
rnacentral:rRNA from 1 species